GUCGCUACUACCGAUUGGGAAAAUUUUAGAGAGUCCGGGACUGAUGAUUGUUCGGCUUCACGGCCUUACUUUCGUCUGAAACGAAUUCGAUAAUAUUUUUCUAGAGGAAGUAA
rnacentral:rRNA from 1 species